rnacentral:rRNA from 1 species
GAUGAACGCUGGCGGCGUGCCUAAUACAUGCAAGUCGGGCGAAUGGAUUAAGAGCUUGCUCUUAUGAAGUUAGCGGCGGACGGGUGAGUAACACGUGGGUAACCUGCCCAUAAGACUGGGAUAACUCCGGGAAACCGGGGCUAAUGCCGGAUAAUAUUUUGAACUGCAUGGUUCAAAAUUGAAAGGCGGCUUCGGCUGUCACUUAUGGAUGGACCCGCGUCGCAUUAGCUAGUUGGUGAGGUAACGGCUCACCAAGGCAACGAUGCGUAGCCGACCUGAGAGGGUGAUCGGCCACACUGGGACUGAGACACGGCCCAGACUCCUACGGGAGGCAGCAGUAGGGAAUCUUCCGCAAUGGACGAAAGUCUGACGGAGCAACGCCGCGUGAGUGAUGAAGGCUUUCGGGUCGUAAAACUCUGUUGUUAGGGAAGAACAAGUGCUAGUUGAAUAAGCUGGCACCUUGACGGUACCUAACCAGAAAGCCACGGCUAACUACGUGCCAGCAGCCGCCGUAA